rnacentral:snoRNA from 1 species
AUCCCAUGAUUUGGGCACUUCCGAAGUAUGCCUUUAAACCUUUUCCAAGCUUCAUGAGAACCUUUAGAAUCAAAUUGUAGGAAGGUGGUGAUAUCAUGCUUGAGCUU